CCUACGGGUGGCAGCAGUGAGGAAUAUUGGUCAAUGGGCGCGAGCCUGAACCAGCCAAGUCGCGUGAAGGAUGAAGGCUCUAUGGUUUGUAAACUUCUUUUAUAAGGGAAUAAAGUGAGGCACGUGUUCCUUUUUGUAUGUACUAUAUGAAUAAGCAUCGGCUAACUCCGUGCCAGCCGCCGCGGUAAUACGGAGGAUGCGAGCGUUAUCCGGAUUUAUUGGGUUUAAAGGGUGCGUAGGUGGUUAAUUAAGUCAGUUGUGAAAGUUUGUGGCUCAACCAUAAAAUUGCCGUUGAUACUGGUAGACUUGAGUAUAUCUGAGGUAGGCGGAAUGCGUGGUGUAGCGGUGAAAUGCAUAGAUAUCACGAAGAACUCCGAUUGCGAAGGCAGCUUACUAAACUAUAACUGACACUGAUGCACGAAAGCGUGGGGAUCAAACAGGAUUAGAUACCCCUGUAGUC
rnacentral:rRNA from 1 species